rnacentral:ncRNA from 1 species
CAACAGGCUAGACCGAUCAUCGAAAAGCGUAAACCGUAAUGCGCCUGCCUGUUGUUUUUAUAAAUUACG